UUGCAAAGAAUCAUGGUACAGCAGCGGCACUGGGAGUAAGUGUGCGGUGCUGAGCAUGGUGAUGCCCAAGUGCUCGCUGUGCACAAGCUCGGUGUGACCGUGGCCUGAGGUCUCUGCAUCCUUUCUUGCAACUCACAAGAGAGUAAAGCAGAGGAGGGAAAUCCCAAGCAAAAAAAAAUGCUUGGAGCCCAAGGACUCCGGGACAUGUGAAAAUCUGAUGCAUGUUCCUCAGUCAGGAGUUUGUAGGGGUGCUCUGAGAAGUUUUCCUCCCUAUAACUCCACGUGUGGCCAGAAAACAAAAUCCACAGGACUGGUGCGGUCCAUGUGAACUGCAGGAACAAGACAUCGCACCAUCCAUGGGCAGAUAAAUUGAGCUGGCAGAAACCAGAAUACUUGAGGAAGUAGUCUGAUCGCUGCAGGUACCCAGGAAAAGCUACUCUUGGUGAUAUCGCUCUCCACCUUCCCUCAGGAGAUGAGCUGCAAAUACUGAAGUCAUAAGCUGAGAUCCAGGGGUGCUGAACAGCAGCAGCAGUUCUUGCUCUGUUCGCAUGGCUAGUGAGAGGUGCUGUGUGUGUCCCCCCCAAAAUGGGAGGCAAAGGGAACUCAAGAAGCAUCAUCAGUCUGCAGUAAAGUUGGCUCUUUUGCUAAGUUGUGAUUCUUCAUCUGCAGUUCUUCAGGGGCUUAUAUCCUGAAUGGCAGGUCAGGAGUCCCUUGGGACACUUCUUCAGGUCUGAGGGCAUGGACCGUCAUGGGAGACAGCCUGGGAGAGCCAUUGAGUGCAUGGGCUGUGGAGGAGACUGGAUGCAACAGCUAAGGCUUCUUUCAUGGUGUCCUGGGAGUCCGGCUGUGUGAGAGCGAGCUUUCUGAGUCACUGCCACUGUUUCUGUGCCGGCUGUCCCCUCACCAUCGAGGAGAAGACCACCCAUCUUCUUCCCAGGCUUGAUACCUCCUACCUUCUGCUCAUCACAAGCAGGGGCUGCUUUUGUAGGUGGAGGAGGUUGCCCAGGCCGUACCAAAGCUGUGGGCUCCUGUGGUCCCAGCAGAGGAGUGGGAUGACGAAGCCUCCUGAGAAGAUGCAGCACGAUGAUUUUGGGUCCGGCAAAGCACACUCUGGAGUGUUGCUUGGCUAGAGCUGCUGUGAAGGAGAGAUUUGUCUGAGUGUCAGCAUCUGAGGAAAAUGAUCCGAAGGGCUUCCUUUUUCACUGCCAACUUCCUAUGGAUUUGGGGCUGCCCAUGGGAAAUCCCAGAGCCAGAUGGCUGGAGAGCUGCUGUCUGUCUCCCUGCGGUGUGGGGUGCUGGUGGGAUGAGGCUGCGGCUGCACAGUUCCUCAGUGACUCAGGGAACUAGAAAGAUGCUGUUUAGCUUAACACCCCAGUAAGUAUCUGUGAUACAAGCAUUUCACUGACUGAUGCAAAAUAUUUUGGGAAUCCUGCCCAGAGUGAUAAGCCAUUACCAGAACAAUACUUUUUGGGGGGAGUUGCAGGCAAAGGAAAGUGUCAGGCUGAUAUUUAUCUCCAGAAAAUGCUACCGUAUAAACUUUUUAAAAGUUAACUUUUAAUUUAAUUUAAUAAAGCUGUCCCCUCAAACCAAUUUUAUUCUAAUCCUUGAGAGGAGAGAACCUUUUAAG